CGGAUGCCUGCUCACUCGACACCAUGAAUAAUCCACCAUUCAUGUAAAGAAAGCUGUAAUGGGCAAGCAUUCAGAACAGGUGACAGUGUCUGUUCCGUGAACACAGAAAUGCACCAUACAUGAUUAUGAUGAUGAUGAUGAUGAUGAUGAUGAUGAUGAUGAUGAUGUCAUAAUGAUGACGACGACGAGUGAAUCACUGCCUUCUACACUGUACAAGAAUCGACAUGAUGGUGUUACAAAAGUAAUCUAUAGUUUGAUCAUCAUGGUAUGAUUUUGCUUCAGCGAGAGUCAGUUCAGAGAGAACGACAAAGUAAAGAUAUCGUAAGAUUUUCAAAUACAAAUAGAGUGAAACGUUGAGUCCACCCGACCAGAUAUCGUUGUAUUAAGCAAACAAGACAAGAAAGCACGGUUUAAUUAUUGAGAUCUCUGUCCCUCAUGACUCAAAUUCAAUCAAAGGACAUGCAUGGGAGUACAGAAGACUCGAAGAUCUACCUACUGCAGUCCAGAUUUUACUGAUUGUCAUUAGAUCGAACAACAGACAUAGUGACAGACUUUCUAUGAUAUUGUGAACACAUGCCUAGAUUUGAAUGACAUUUGAUAAGAACUUGCAGACUGCUGCUAUUUUAGGUACAUUUUGCGUAAAUAAGCCAUCUAAGACCAUCCAGUAGGUUAUAUUUGAAAUCAAUUGGUU